rnacentral:rRNA from 1 species
UACGUAGGGUGCAAGCGUUAAUCGGAAUUAUUGGGCGUAAAGGGUGCGUAGGCGGUUUGGUAAGUCUUGUGUGAAAUCUCCCAGGCUCAACUUGGAGUCUGCACGAGAAACUGCCGGGCUUGAGUGUGGGAGAGGUGAGUGGAAUUCCUGGUGUAGCGGUAGAAAUGCGUAGAUAUCAGGAGGAACACCUGUGGCGAAAGCGGCUCACUGGACCACAACUGACGCUGAUGCACGAAAGCUAGGGGAGCAAACAGG